AUGAGACGGAAGUCCUGAGAGUUUGACCGAUUUAAGGUCACGUGCCUAGGAAGUGCUGGAACCAAGACUCGGAGUUUUCUCUAAGUUUAGUGCCUUUUUUUUGUUUUAAACCACACUGUUGCAUUUCCCCCCAUUUUGGAAAGCUUUAUAGUUGGAAAGAAUGAAAACCUGAUCUGACCCCUUCAUUUUAUGGUUGAAACAAAAUCUACGUAGGAGAAAUCACUUGGUACAAGUCACAAGUCAGUGGUAGAGCUGCCGCAAAUGCUUUUUGAAUACGUGUGAUUAUGAAUCUAAAUGGCAGAUGGCAGGGAGUGAUAAGCCUCUAUCAGACCCGUUUCAGAAGUUACACUGAAGACAGUGCAUGAAAGACCACAUGGCCAUAGGCAAUACAUGGCCUAUUCAGCUGUACCAGUCCGCCAUUUUGCUACCAAGAAAGCCAAAGCCAAAGGGAAAGGACAGUCCCAAACCAGAGUGAAUAUUAAUGCUGCCUUGGUUGAGGAUAUAAUCAACUUGGAAGAGGUGAAUGAAGAAAUGAAGUCUGUGAUAGAAGCACUCAAGGAUAAUUUCAAUAAGACUCUCAAUAUAAGGACCUCACCAGGAUCCCUUGACAAGAUUGCUGUGGUAACUGCUGAUGGGAAGCUUGCUUUAAACCAGAUUAGCCAGAUCUCCAUGAAGUCGCCACAGCUGAUUUUGGUGAAUAUGGCCAGCUUCCCAGAGACUAUGAAGCAAAUAAAACAAUAUUUUAAUGGGCCAAAUGUGGCCUGAGGGCCACCAAUUUGUGACCUCUGCAUUAGUAUUUGGAGCAGACCCUCCAGGAAGUCCUUUUAUACUAGACUGACCAUUGCAGAAUAUUGCAUGGAGCACAGUGCUUCCAAAACUGGAAG
rnacentral:sRNA from 1 species